rnacentral:miRNA from 1 species
UUCAAUAAGAACGUGACACGUGA